rnacentral:rRNA from 1 species
UACCAGGUACUGGACGUUACUCGCAGAAUAAGCACCGGCUAACUCUGUGCCAGCAGCCGCGGUAAUACAGAGGGUGCGAGCGUUAAUCGGAUUUACUGGGCGUAAAGCGUGCGUAGGCGGCUUUUUAAGUCGGAUGUGAAAUCCCCGAGCUUAACUUGGGAAUUGCAUUCGAUACUGGGAAGCUAGAGUAUGGGAGAGGAUGGUAGAAUUCCAGGUGUAGCGGUGAAAUGCGUAGAGAUCUGGAGGAAUACCGAUGGCGAAGGCAGCCAUCUGGCCUAAUACUGACGCUGAGGUACGAAAGCAUGGGGAGCAAACAGGAUUAGAUACCCUGGUAGUCCAUGCCGUAAACGAUGUCUACUAGCCGUUGGGGCCUUUGAGGCUUUAGUGGCGCAGCUAACGCGAUAAGUAGACCGCCUGGGGAGUACGGUCGCAAGACUAAAACUCAAAUGAAUUGACGGGGGCCCGCACAAGCGGUGGAGCAUGUGGUUUAAUUCGAUGCAACGCGAAGAACCUUACCUGGUCUUGACAUAGUAAGAACUUUCCAGAGAUGGAUUGGUGCCUUCGGGAACUUACAUACAGGUGCUGCAUGGCUGUCGUCAGCUCGUGUCGUGAGAUGUUGGGUUAAGUCCCGCAACGAGCGCAACCCUUGUUCACUGUUGCCAGCACGUUAUGGUGGGGACUCAGUGGAGACCGCCGGGGUCAACUCGGAGGAAGGUGGGGAUGACGUCAAGUCAUCAUGCCCCUUAUGUCCAGGGCUUCACGCAUGCUACAAUGGCUGGUACAGAGAGUGGCGAGCCUGUGAGGGUGAGCGAAUCUCGGAAAGCCGGUCUCAGUUCGGAUUGGGGUCUGCAACUCGACCUCAUGAAGUCGGAGUCGCUAGUAAUCGCAGAUCAGCAACGCUGCGGUGAAUACGUUCCCGGGGCUUGUACACACCGCCCGUCAAGUCAUGAAAGUUGGUAACACCCGAAGCCGGUGGCCUAACCGUUGUGGGGGAGCCGUCGAAGGUGGGACUGGUGAUUAGGACUAAGUCGUAACAAGGUAGCCGUACCGGAAGGUGCGGCUG